CCUGAUCCUUGCCCACGGAGACCGGUGGCGGGAAGACGACUGCACAUUCUGCCAGUGCGUCAACGGUGAACGCCACUGCGUUGCGACCGUCUGCGGACAGACCUGCACAAACCCUGUGAAAGUGUCUGGGGAGUGUUGCCCUGUGUGCGAAGAACCAACCAUCAUCACAGUUGAUCCACCUGCAUGUGGGGAGUUAUCAAACUGCACUCUGACAGGGAAGGACUGCAUUCAUGGUUUCAAACGCGAUCACAAUGGUUGUCGGACCUGUCAGUGCAUAAACAGUGAGUAGACAGAAGACUGUAUGUUUUUUCUGAGGCCUAAUAUGAUAUUGUCAAAGCAUAUUAUG
rnacentral:sRNA from 1 species